rnacentral:rRNA from 1 species
UACGGAGGGUGCAAGCGUUAUCCGGAUUCACUGGGUUUAAAGGGUGCGUAGGUGGGUUGGUAAGUCAGUGGUGAAAUCUCCGUGCUUAACAUGGAAACUGCCAUUGAUACUACUGAUCUUGAAUUUUCGGGAGGUAAGCGGAAUAUGUCAUGUAGCGGUGAAAUGCUUAGAUAUGACAUAGAACACCAAUUGCGAAGGCAGCUUACUACAGGAAUAUUGACACUGAUGCACGAAAGCGUGGGGAUCAAACAGGG